UACGGGGGGAGCAAGCGUUGUUCGGAUUUACUGGGCGUAAAGGGCGCGUAGGCGGCCAUUCAAGUCAGGGGUGAAAGCCUGUGGCUCAACCACAGAAUUGCCUUUGAUACUGUUUGGCUAGAGACCGGAAGAGGUAAGUGGAACUGCGAGUGUAGAGGUGAAAUUCGUAGAUAUUCGCAAGAACACCAGUGGCGAAGGCGGCUUACUGGUCCGGUUCUGACGCUGAGGCGCGAAAGCGUGGGGAGCAAACAGG
rnacentral:rRNA from 1 species